GAGAGAGGAGAAUUUCUAAUGUUGUAAGCAGGUGAAUAAUACUUAUAUUUGCUUGAUUUUGUUUUGGAAUUUCAACAUAAAAAACAAAAAUAAAAAAUUAACAAAAUAAAAACAGAGCGCGUUUGUUGUGAUUUUAACCUCCACCACCACCACCANACCAUCCACAACCACCGUCCAUACCACCAUCAUCGUCGCCGACCGACCUCCACCGCCAUCGUUAAAAUCAAUUAGAUCUAAUCUGACCUCCACCACCAUCACCGCUUCUGUAAGAGAUAUGCGAAAGUGACAACAACGACCGGAGAGAGUGAGAGAGUUGCGGCGUUAAGGAGAACGACCGGAAAAUACGACGUCGGUGGCCGGUGGAUGGUAGCCGGNNNNAGAGGCCAGUCGUGAAAGAGAUCUUAGAGUUGGAGAAGAUAGAGUGUAAAGGGAAAGAAAAAAGAAAAGUGAAAAUUGUUUUUAGUAUUAUUCACCUGCUACAACAUCAGUAAUUCAGAUACAGCAUCACAGCCGUUUAACUCAUCCAACGGUUGAAAGUCAGUUGUUCACAGGUGAGAGAUACGACUUACUCUCUCACGCGCCUGAAUUUAGUAUCCUAAUAAUCACAGUCUUGUCUGUCUAACCUCGUGGUUAAAUUUGUCUUUGCAACUUUUCAAUUUUCAGUUUUUGAUUUCCAAUCCCCAAUUUUGAUCUUCUUUCUCACAAACAACCCUAAAUUAUCAAUCUUUUUGUCUCUAGGUAAGAAAUUUUGAUUAUUGAUCUAUUUUGUUCCCUUAAAUAGCUAUUUUCGAAUUGAAUCAAUGAUGGAAGGAGACAUAGCAAUUGAAGAACAUCAAAGAUCUUUAGCAGCUCCUUUCGUAUUUCUCAUCGUUCUCGCUUUUCAGU
rnacentral:lncRNA from 1 species